rnacentral:tRNA from 1 species
GGGGGUGUAGCUCAGUUUGGGAGAGCGCUGCGUUCGCAAUGCAGAGGUCGAGGGUUCGAUCCCCUUCACCUCCACCA